rnacentral:lncRNA from 1 species
ACCGCGCGUUGGGAUUCGUAGUGUUGUUGAAGACCGGAGGAGUGUCUGCAGUCAGCGACUCUCCACCAACUUCAACUACUGGAUCAACCAUGGUGGGAGACCCAGCCUGGCAAGCAUGCGUCCUGGGCUGUCUGUGGACCUGGAACCUGCUGUCAUAGGUGAGUGGAUGGAGGAGUAGGGGCCCCUUCCCCUAGGCCAUAGUUUUUGCUAGUGCCAAUGUCUGUUUAAGGGGAAAACACUUGAGAUGCAAGCAGUCCCCUGCCAUGAAUGGCACUGAAGUCUGAAGUCUAUUGCUUUUGUCUAGACUGUGUCCUCAGAGGGGGUCUUGGAGGCUUCCUGUAUUGAGAGGAAGAUCAUUAGCACAGCUCUGCCAGGAAGCUGCCAGAUAGGAGUCAGGGAUCAGGCCUAGAAUGCAGACUGCAGAAAGGAGCAGAUGUAAAAGCAGAAAUUUAAAACUUGCUUUUCAGUGUCCUCAGACUCUUGAGGGCAGCCUGUUACGUAAGAAGCAGGGAGCCGAGAACAUUCAUAAUGGCCCCCUGCUCGGCCUUAACUGAAAUAGGCCCCCACAUAGGAUGUGGGCCUGUGUGAACUUGGCUGUUGCUGGCUUCCGGGGGCUUUCCUGCUUCCUCCCUUCUGCAUCUGGAUCUCCUCAGUUUCCUAAUCAUGACAAUUCUACCCCUCCUGCGUUUUUUUAAAGCUGUUAUUUUAGAUGUUAAAUGGUGGACUGGGUUUCUUCAUUAGUCUGUAUUCUUUUUUUUUUUUUCUCUCUUUCUGUGGUGAAAAUUUACAUUGGGCUGUAUUCUUACCCCAUUCAAAAGUGAAGUGAGAUUCUCCUUAACACCACUCUGAUUCCUCACCCAGCACAAUGAAGUGGCUGUGAUCAGAGGGAAGGGACCACUGAAGGUGCCACUUGCUCUCCCCGUCUCAGGCCCAGGCAGGACCCAGCCUUAGAAGUGGGUCUCUGGUUGGGAGGCUGAGGCAGGAGAAUUGCUUGAACCCGGGAGAAGGAGGUUGUGGUGAGCCAAGAUCGUGCAAUUGCAUCCAGCCUGGGCAACAAGAGCGAGACUCUGUCUCAAAAAAAAAAAAAGAAAAAAAAAGAAAAGAAAAAGAAGUGGGCCUCUGGGACGCCGUGUAUUAUCACUCUGUUGGGCAGUUGUACCUGGGGAGGCUUAGCAGCAAAGGUUCUGGUGUCUGGCGUUCCCUUGGGGAUGAACCAGCUUGUUUUACCUUUGUUCUUUCUUCCCCUCAGGAUGGGGUAAGAACUGACAUUUAUAGGCAGCUCUUCUACCCUGGGCAGCUGGUAUCUGGCGUGGAAGAUGCUGCCAACAACUAUGCCUGUGGCCACUACACUGCGGGGAAGGAGACCAUCGAUUUGGUGCUGGAGCAAAUCGGAAAACUGGCGAGCAGGCCUCCGGCACCUACAGGAGGUUGGCAUCAACUACCAGUCCCCCACAGUGGUGCCCGGGGGUGCCGUAGCCAAGGUGCAGUGGGCAGUCUGCAUGCUAAACAAUACCACAGCCAUCACCAAGGCCUGGACCCGCCUCAACCCAAAGUUUGACCUGAUGUAUGCCAAGCAGGCAUUUAUGCACUGGAAGUAAUCAGAGAGCUUUGUGGCAAAGCUCAUGAGGAAGGCGUGAUCUACGUUCUGCUUGGAGUAGAAUUCGCCACAAAAGGCUUCAUCUCUGACGCUGUCAACAGUGGGGUAGGCAUCGGAUGGAGCAUGGAUCAUUAGCAACUGCCCUUUCAAGAUCUGCGGGCUGAAGAGGCUUGAAAUAUGGGCAACAGUUUCUCUGAGCCAGGUGAGGUCAGAAUCUGCCAGGUGGACCAGCACCGUGAGGUGUUUCUGCUCAGCCUUAGAGGAAACACGGAACAGAGAGACCAAUGUGUACAAGAGGCUGCUUCUGUCCCCUUGCUGCACUGACGAUAUCCCCACUGUCAGCCAUGCUGAGGAG